UGCGGCGGCUGCUGGUGCUGCUGCGGCUGCUGCCGCUGCGGGCGGCGGCGCAGCGGGUCCUGGCUCGGGUCCAGGUACUGCACC
rnacentral:tRNA from 1 species